rnacentral:piRNA from 1 species
UGCGAGUGAUUUGACAAGAAA